rnacentral:rRNA from 1 species
GACGAACGCUGGCGGCACGCCUAACACAUGCCAGUCGAACGGACUUACAAGAGCUUGCUUUUUUAAGUUAGUGGCGGACGGGUGAGUAACACGUGAGCAACCUGCCUCUGAGAGGGGGAUAGCUUCUGGAAACGGAUGGUAAUACCCCAUAAAAUAUAAAUAUCGCAUGAUAGAUAUAUCAAAGAAAUUCGCUCAGAGAUGGGCUCGCGUCUGAUUAGAUAGUUGGUGAGGUAACGGCUCACCAAGUCGACGAUCAGUAGCCGGACUGAGAGGUUGAACGGCCACAUUGGGACUGAGACACGGCCCAGACUCCUACGGGAGGCAGCAGUGGGGAAUAUUGCACAAUGGAGGGAACUCUGAUGCAGCGAUGCCGCGUGGAGGAAGAAGGUUUUCGGAUUGUAAACUCCUUUUAUCAGGGACGAUAAUGACGGUACCUGAAGAAAAAGCUCCGGCUAACUACGUG